GAGCACACCUUGAAAUCCACAAGGAAAAGGAGAGAGACUCCAAGAUUUUGUUGAUAGUUGAAUGAAUUACAAGGAGGGUUGCACCCUUAUUUAUACUAGUAGUAGGUCUAGCUAAAAAGAAAAUGCUUGGCUACCAAGAAUAUUACUUGGAGUAGGGACCAAGUAAAAGAAAAUGCUUGGCUACCAAGAAUAUAACUUGGAGUAAGGACCAAGCAAAACAAAAUAAGGAAAUAAAAAAAACAAAAACUCUCAGGAAACUAGAAUAUUAAGUAUACUCUAUGAUUAAAUUAUUUCCUCUUCAAUUUAGCAUGGUCCAAUUGUUCCAGAAAUAUCUCGGCCACUUGUUCUACAUCAGUCCCCUCUUCUUGGAAAGAACUCGACCUCGAGUUCAAAUCUGGAUAGAGACACUCUUCUGCAUGAUACUCAAACAAGUCUGCUACGUUGAAGGUCUUGGAAAUCUUCAUGUCUUCAGGCAAGUCAAUCAUAUAGGCAUUGUCGUUGAUCCUCUUCAAAACCUUAUAUGGACCAUACUUCCUCGGCUUCAACUUCUUGUGGGUACCCACUGGAAACCUCUUCUUCCGCAAGAACACCAUCACAUAAUCACCAUCUUUGAACAAUUUGGCACGCCUGCGCUGUUAGCUGCUCCUUUGUACUUUGCAUUUGUGUUUGCCAAGUUCUGUUUCACUUGGUCAUGCACUUCUUGAGCCUGAUUGGCCAUUGUCUUAGCUGCAACACUAAUUCUAGGACCUCGCAAAAGAUGAACUAAGUCUACUGCAUGCUUUGGAGGUGUCACAUAUACCAAGGAGAAAGGUGAUUUUCCUGUGGCACUGUGAAAUGCACUAUUAAAGCCAAACUCAGCCUGCGGCAAUGCAUAGUCCCACUGUUUCAGCUUGUCCCCACAAAUGCUGCAAAUCAAAUUCGUCAAACUUCGAUUAGUCACCUCUGUUUGACCGUUAGUUUGUGGAUGUGUAGUAGAACUCCUCUUCAGCGACGUACCAAUAUCUUCCCCAAAGUCACCCAAAAGUGACUAAGGAACUUCACAUCACAGUCAGAAGUAAUUGACUGUGGAACCCCAUGCAACCGAACCACUUCACAAAAGAACAACCGAGCCACAUGCAAGGCAUCAGAUGUCUUUCGGCAAGCGAUGAAGUGCAUCAUUUGGAAAACCUGUUCACCACCACAAAUACAGAAUCUACUCCCCGUUGGGUACGAGGCAGACCCAACACAAAAUCCAUUGACAAGUCUUCCCAAAUAUUGUUAGGAACAGAUAAAGGCAUAUAAAGACUAGUAUUUUGAGCUUGACCCUUAGAUACUUGAUAGAUAUAGCACCUUUGCACGAAGUUUCUAGUAUCCCGCUUCAAUGGAGGCCAUAAAUACCUCUCCUCCAAGCUUGCAAUGGUUUUUAUCUCAGAUUAAGCUUUCCCUUAGAGAAGUCUUGGGAAUGCAGAGACGAUUGCCUCGAAAUAAGUACCCAUCAGUAACAUGAAAGUCACUAACAGGUCGAUUUUGAUCACACACUGCCCAAAUUUCCUUGAAAUCAUCAUCCUCCGGGUACAGCUCCUUUAAGAACUCAAAACCCACAAUCUCAUGGGCCAAAGUGACUAUCAGAUCAGCUCGACGACUCUGCAUCUGCCACAUGAUUCGUUACCUAGAUUUAUGUUGAAUGGUGAAAGGAAACUUCUGCAAAAACGUAGUCCAGCGUACAUGCAUGCUAUCCAACUUCUUUUGGCUAUUGAUGAACUCUAACGCCUAAUGAUCAGUAUACAGAAUGAACUCCCUUUGAAUCAAAUAGUGCUCCCAAUGCUUGAGUGUGUGCACCACAGCAUAGAACUCUUGGUCAUAUGUGCUCCACGUCUGCCUCGCUUCACUUUGUUUUUCACUAAAGAAAGCGACAAGCCUUGUCACGACCCGCGCCAGCUGACCUGCUAACUUUUCGCCUAACCACGUGGCUCAAAAGGUUAACCUCAGGUUAUUAGUAGCUGGUGGGCCUUUCCUUAUAUACCACCUAAUUUUUUCUCUAACUUCCAAUGUGGGACAUUACAAUCUCCCCAUCUUGGUUGCAACGUCCCCGUUGCAUCAUGUGGUCCAACAACUUCCACUCACCAAGCGAUGUAGGACAAGUACCCGCUUAAGUGUGUCAAGCUCCUCAAGCUUGUCUCAUGUGGGACCCGCCCAAGUACGACAAGCACCUCAAGCUCCUCACUUGUCGGGCCCAUCCAAGCACGUCUCCUCGUGGGACCCGCCCCUACAUUUUCGGUUGGUGCAAGCUCUGAUACCACCUGUCACAACCCGCACACUUGCUUACCCUUUGCCUAACCACGUGGCUCAAAAGGUUAACUUCAGGUAGCUGGUGGGCCUUUGCUUAUAAACCACCUAAUUUUUCCUCUAACUUCCGAUGUGGGACAUUACAGGCCUCUUCUCUUGGGACAAAACAACCCUAAUAUCAAUCCCACUAGCAUCACACUCAACUUCAAAAAUCUUCUCAAAACUAGGUAGAGCUAGUACCGGAGCGGUGCACAACUUCUCCUUAGCCAAGGCAAAACUCUUUUCCGCCUCUUCUCCCCGUAUAAACUUGCAUUUCUUCAAACAUUCUGUGAUUGGAACCACAAUAGUACUGAAAUUUCGAGUGAAGCGUCUAUAAAAAGUGGCCAACCCAUGGAAGCUUUGAACCUCAGCAACGGUCUUGGGAGCUGGCCAAUCGCGAAUGGCUCGAACCUUAUCUUCAUCAACAUGGAUCCCUUCGGAGCUAAUCACAUAGCCCAAGAAUAUUAAACUGCUCGUCAAGAAACUGCUCUUCUUGAGUUGAAUGUACAGUUUAUUUUCCUGCAGCACCAUCAGCACUUGGCGCACGUGCCCCACAUGCUCCUCCUUGGACCUGCUGUAAAUUAUUAUAAACGAUGACAAAUUUUCUAGUGAAAGGCCGCAAAACCUAAUUCAUCACCCGCACAAAGGUGCUUGGAGCAUUGGAAAGGCCGAACAGCAUAACCAGCCAUUUGUAGAGGCCAUCCUUGGUCUUGAAUGCUGUCUUCCAUUCAUCGCUCGGUUGGAUAUGAAUCUGAUGGUAUCCGCUUCGCGAAUCAAUCUUCGAGAACCACUUCUAUCCGUCCAACGUAUCUAGCAUAUCAUCUAGAUGAGGAAUUGAAAAUCUGUACUUGAUGGUUAUUUUGUUGAUGGCGGGACUAUCCACACAUAUGCCAGCUUCCAUCCUUCUUUGGUGUCAAUAAGGCUGGAACACCAUAUGGGCUCAGACUCUCGAAUAUGCCUCUUUUGCAAUAACUCUUCUACCUUUUCUCUCAGAAUCUCAUUCUCCUUAGAAUUCAUACGAUAAUGCGGUAAAUUGGGCAGACUUGCCCCAGGCACUUAAUCAAUUUGAUGCUGAAUAGCCCUCAUAGGUGGGAGCUCAUUAGGCACAUCAUCAGUAAUCAACUCCUCAAACUCCGGUAACGGUUGUAUCAGCUUAGGCAUUCAAUUCACUGCUUCUUUCUUCCACUACUAGCGCCUUCACCACCAAAGCAUAAACCUUUCCUGACUUUUUCAAAUCUGCCACAAACUCAGGUUCGGAACUAGCAAUGGUUAAAAACGAUGACCCCCUCUACUUGAGGUGUUUUGACAGACACUUUAUGAUUACAAGGAACAUAACAAUCUUAUGGGCCUCCUAAUUAAAAUAGUAAGUGUUGUCACGACCCCUAUAAACAACAUCAACAUCAACCUGUUAGGGCCUACCUAACAGUACAUGGCUAACAUCCAUCUCAAUUUCAUCACAUAUAACAUCAGCUCUAUAAAAUUUUCCAAUUGAAAGAGGAAUUUUAGGGACUUUAAUUACCUUCACCGUGGGGCCUUUCUUUAUCCAACCAAUGCUAUAUGGAGAGGGAUGGGGUUCGGUUGGCAACUUUAGAUGCUCCACCAGCCUCUUCGCCACCAAGUUCUUACAACUUCCACUGUCCACGAUCAAGUCACAAACCUUUUGGUUGAUUGAAUAGUUUGACCGAAAGAUGUGUUGUUGGCUGUGAUCCUCUGACCUCGGCACAGAUAGCACCCUCUGCACUACACGGUUCACUCGUUCCCUUUCUUCCUCUGCAUAAUCUGCCCCAUCAUAAGGAUCGUCCUCAGGCCAAUCUUCCACAACCCCAUUUUCUUCCCCUCCUACUAGGUUCAACCUCCGAUUCAGGCAUUCAUUAGACCGGUGGCCAGGUUUGCCACACCUGAACCACUUUUCUGGCAUGGGUUUGGCAUAAGGGUUCUCCUUUUUGGUCACGUCUCCUUUUUGGUCACAUUUCGGUUAUUAGAGAUACCUGCCUGAUUAGCUCCGAAUUUUACUCCACCACCAACAGUGCCCUUCGGUUGAAACGCAGGGCCUGUUGGUUGAGUCGCCUUCCCUUGUUAGGAGUAGGAGCAGAAGACUCCAUUGGACCUCGACAGUAUCCUGAACUAACUAGUUUACGCUCCAACUGCUCGGCCUUCAAUCCAGGUUAUGGGCUUCAUCAACGUCCCAUACUACCUGCAACCUUAUCUUCUCUUGAAUUGAAGGCUUUAGUCCAUUAAUAUAUCUGACUACACGCUGACCCUUCGUCUCAUUCAGUUGUGUAAUCAAACACAAGUCUGGACCAUGCGAACAAUUUUGGUAUGACCGGAACAGGUGUUGAUCAUAGUCAGGCGGUAGAAACCUGUCCAUCAUGAGUUGCUUCAUCCUGCACCAUUUUCGCAUGGAUUCCUUCCCAUGCCUACAUCGCUUUGCCUGCAACUGGUUGUGCUGCCUUUCAAUUUUUCAAUUUGUAAGCGACCAUCUUCACCUUCUUUGACUCAGGAACCUCCAUCAUAUUAAGGAACCUUUCAACCUCAGAAAUCCAGUCAAGGAACUCCUCAAUAUGCAGAUUACCGUUGAACGUGGGAAGAUCCACCUUCAAAUGAUAAUCAUCAAACCACUUUGGUUGUCGUUCGGGUUGUCGGCCUCCCUGCUCUUCCUCAAACUUGGGUUCUAAUUUUUCACUAUCAGAAUGAUGACGAGGGUGGCAUCUUCUAACUUGUCGGUUACCGGGUUGGCCUCGGGUAAAUCCUCUGGUGCACUCCUGAUCCUAGUUAAAAGUUUGACGUAGGGCAAAUCCCUCCGCGCGAUCCUCUUCAACCCUUUCUGGCCUUGAGUUGACGUAUAGAGUCAACACUUGCAGUAGUCCUCAGAUCUCUGUCAACUGUGCCCAUUGGUCCUGCAACUGUGCGGGUUGAUCCUGCAACUGCGUUUGUUGAUCCAACACUCUCUCCCUUAGGUCAGCAAUCCCACGAUCACCGUCAAUGGGGGUUUCUUCAACUGGGUUUGGUGCCAUCGAACCAGGCAAAGCCUUGCUCUGAUACCACUUGACGCAGCGGAAUUCACGAAGAGAUUAGUUGCGUACUAAUCCAAACGAAGUAAACACUUGAAUCCACGAGCAUACCUUGAAAUCCACAAGGAAAGGGAGGAAGAAACUCUAAAAUUUUGUUGAUAGUUGAAUGAAUUACAAGGAGAGUUGCACCCUUAUUUAUACUAGUAGUAGGUCUAGCUAAAAAGAAAAUGCUUGGCUACCAAGAAUAUUACUUCGAGUAGGGACCAAGCAAAAAAUACUUGGCUACCAAGAAUAUAACUUGGAGCAGGGACCAAGCAAAACAAAAUAAGGAAAUAAAAAAAAAAAAACAAAAAACUCUUAGGAAACUAGAAUAUUAAGUAUACUCAAUAAUUAAUUAUUUCCCCUUUGAUUUGGCACGGUCCAAUUGUUCCAGAAAUAUC